UACAGAGGUGGCAAGCGUUGUUCGGAAUUACUGGGCGUAAAGGGCGCGUAGGCGGCUCGACAAGUCCCGCGUGAAAGCCCCCGGCUCAACUGGGGAACUGCGCGGGAAACUGUCGGACUUGAGUUCGGGAGAGGGAAGCGGAAUUCCGGGUGUAGCGGUGGAAUGCGUAGAGAUCCGGAGGAAGACCGGUGGCGAAGGCGGCAUCCUGGACCGGCAUUGACGCGUGAGGCGCGAAAGCCAGGGGGAGCAAACAGG
rnacentral:rRNA from 1 species